CAGAAUAUCCAUAUCAAACGACGUCAAAACGCGAUAAAAAUUAUGGAAAAUUAUUUUGUAAUAUAUGUGAUUUUUCUGAGGUGGAAUCAAACUAAACGGAGGCCAACAACCUCCACUACCCACCAGGGCAUGACCCAUACCCCUGAGUUAUGGAUCUUCGGGUAUUUCAGAAAUGGUGGAGGACUAGAAUACAGGAACGCACAACCAAAGAGAACAGAGAGGGAGAUCCAAUCUCAGAGGGGCUCCUGCCCCUCCGUAGCCAUGGAGGCCAUGGACCAGAGGGGAACUCUCCUCCCAUCUGGGGGAGGCCAAGGAAGAAGAAGAAGGAGGGCGGCUCUCUCCCCUCUCUUCGAGUGGCGCUGGAGUGUCGUCGGGGCAAGGAGCAUGAUGGCGAUCUACAUCAACAAUCUUGCUGCCGUCAACACCAACUCUCUCCCUCUCUAUGCACCGGUGUAACACCUCCUUUCCUGUUGUAACUCUCUACUUAAACAUAGUGCUCAACGCUACAUACUAUUUCCCAAUGAUAUGUGGCUAUCCUA